CCCGACUGCUAUCAGAGUGAGACUAAGCCAUGCGAGUCAACGUAUGAAUAAUACGUGGCGAACGGCUCAGUAACACGUAGUCAACAUGCCCAGAGGACGUGGAUAACCUCGGGAAACUGAGGAUAAACCGCGAUAGGUCAUAAUUACUGGAAUGUUUUAUGGCUCAAAUCUACAUGGCCUCUGGAUUGGACUGCGGCCGAUCAGGCUGUUGGUGAGGUAAUGGCCCACCAAACCUGUUACCGGUACGGGCUCUGAGAGGAGGAGCCCGGAGAUGGGCACUGAGACAAGGGCCCAGGCCCUAUGGGGCGCAGCAGGCGCGAAACCUCUGCAAUAGGCGAAAGCCUGACAGGGUUACUCUGAGUGAUUCCCGCUAAGGGAAUCUUUUGGCAUCUCUAAAAACGAUGCAGAAUAAGGGGUGGGCAAGUCUGGUGUCAGCCGCCGCGGUAAUACCAGCACCCCGAGUGGUCGGGACGAUUAUUGGGCCUAAAGCAUCCGUAGCCGGUCUUGCAAGUCUUCCGUUAAAUCCAGCUGCUUAACAGAUGGGCUGCGGAAGAUACUACAAGACUAGGAGGCGGGAGAGGCAAGCGGUACUCAGUGGGUAGGGGUAAAAUCCUCUGAUCCAUUGAAGACCACCAGUGGCGAAGGCGGCUUGCCAGAACGCGCUCGACGGUGAGGGAUGAAAGCUGGGGGAGCAAACCGGAUUAGAUACCCGGGUAGUCCCAGCUGUAAACGAUGCAGACUCGGUGAUGGGCCGGCUUCAUGCCGGCUCAGUGCCGCAGGGAAGCCGUUAAGUCUGCCGCCUGGGGAGUACGGUCGCAAGACUGAAACUUAAAGGAAUUGGCGGGGGAGCACCACAAGGGGUGAAGCUGCGGUUC
rnacentral:rRNA from 1 species